rnacentral:rRNA from 1 species
GAGGGGGCUUAGUGGUGGGGUGACUGCGUACCUUUUGUAUAAUGGGUCAGCGACUUAUAUUCUGUAGCAAGGUUAACCGAAUAGGGGAGCCGGAGGGAAACCGAGUCUUAAUUGGGCGUUAAGUUGCAGGGUAUAGACCCGAAACCCGGUGAUCUAGCCAUGGGCAGGUUGAAGGUUGGGUAACACUAACUGGAGGACCGAACCGACUAAUGUUGAAAAAUUAGCGGAUGACCUGUGGCUGGGGGUGAAAGGCCAAUCAAACCGGGAGAUAGCUGGUUCUCCCCGAAAGCUAUUUAGGUAGCGCCUCGUGAAUUCAUCUCCGGGGGUAGAGCACUGUUUCGGCUAGGGGGCCAUCCCGGCUUACCAACCCGAUGCAAACUGCGAAUACCGGAGAAUGUUAUCACGGGAGACACACGGCGGGUGCUAACGUCCGUCGUGAAGAGGGAAACAACCCAGACCGCCAGCUAAGGUCCCAAAGUCAUGGUUAAGUGGGAAACGAUGUGGGAAGGCCCAGACAGCCAGGAUGUUGGCUUAGAAGCAGCCAUCAUUUAAAGAAAGCGUAAUAGCUCACUGGUCGAGUCGGCCUGCGCGGAAGAUGUAACGGGGCUAAACCAUGCACCGAAGCUGCGGCAGCGACGCUGAUGCGUUGUUGGGUAGGGGAGCGUUCUGUAAGCCUG